GCCGCUGUAGCUCAGUCGGUAGAGCAGGGGACUGAAAAUCCCCGUGUCAGCAGUUCGAUUCUGCUUGGCGGCA
rnacentral:tRNA from 1 species